UUGGCCACAGCAAGCUAUCCAUCCGCACACGUGUCCAGGGCCACUUUUUUGGGGGAAAAGUUCUCAUCACCUGCCCCCCGGAGACUUGCAAUCACGCCUCCCCACUCUCUCCCGCCCCUGCCCAGCCCCUCUCCGGUUGUGCAGGAGCCAAAGGGGAUUUGUGCAGAGGAGCCACAGGCACAGGUCCAAGCCCAGCCCAGACCCAGGAGCUUGACCUGAGACAAGAGGAUAACCCAGGACAACACACUCAACUCCCCGGACGAGGAGGGGCGGUCCGGCAGCCAGAAAGAAAACGCCUGGGCUUUUUAUUGAAUCCAUAAAACAGGAGAUUAUGAAAAUAACACAGACUCACUUUAUACAAUUUGUGAAAUAAAGAAAUGCAUAAAGAAGGAAAUAAAACCACCAUCAACCCAUGUUCCAGAGCUUGUUCGUACAGGUUUGAUAUUUCAGGAAAUCAGAAGAGUGAAAAGAAAACACGCUACGGCUGCCUGCGUGAGCCCACUCCUGGGAGCCAGGAGGUUGCCUGACCUUCUGAUCCACAGAGAUAUCACAGGGGCAGAGGAGAGAAGAGGGGCCCGCGGAGGUUGGCAGUGUGACACUUGCCCUCCUCUGACGUUCAGUGGCACUUGUUUCCUCAUAUGGAAAAUUAAAAUAACUCCUGCCCUCCCUGUAUGACUGGAUUAUUCUGAGACCAGAUGGGAUGAUGGAUAUAAAAGUGGUCACUAAGUGACCGGUGCUGCCGGAAAGCAGGGAGCCAUGCCUUUUCCUACAGGAGACUGAAAGGUCUGCUCAGUCAUUCCAGAACCAUGGCUGUGAGAGCGACACUGCUGGUGCCCUGGACUCGGGUGGGGAGGAUAAGCUUGGAGCUGCGGACUCAGGAUCGUUCUGGACACUUGCAUUCCAGCUGGAGGAGAGUCGGGAGGUGAUAACCAGUACAGGUGAUCGUCUAGCCAAACUCUUGGGCUUCAAAGGAAUGUUGAUUUCAUUGUCUCCCAAAGGGGACGAGUAAAUAACGAGAUACUGUCUGAGGUAUUGCCCCAGCCAGAGUGUUUCCUGCUGGAGGCUAGGAUGCUGCCGAGCACUGGAAGACUUGUGUGAGCCACUCGUGAGGAGUGUGGCUCUGGGCAAGUGACUUCACCUCUGGAAGACCCACCUCCUCUUUAUAGAUCAUGUAAAGGGGAUAACAGAGCCUGUCGUUUUGCCCUUACAGGUUGUGUGACGUUGGUGGUGGAAGCAUUUUGGACACUGAGAAAUGCAUUUUGGAAAUAAUGGCCUAGGCUUUACAGGCUCAUUUUCAUGCCCGACAAGGCAGAAACUCACUGGAAAGUGGAAACUGAGACUUAGCACUAUGAGAAGGGAGGCACUGGCUCAGUCCCACCACCUGGGCUUGGAUCUGGGCUGUCCCCUGCCCUCCCUGCAGGGGACUGGCUCAGAAAAACCAGCUCACCACUUAGGAGGCUGGGUUUGGAUGUCUCUCCAAACCCCUGGUCAGAUUGCUAUCUUUCAACAAAAACACAGGGUUAGCUGAAUUUUCUUCCAAAUUUCAUUUCAGACAAUUAUCUUGGCAUGUUAUCUGUAAUAUUUCCUUUGGAGGGUUCUUCCACACUGAAAAAAAAGAAUUCAUCUUCUCCUGUGAAUGAGCGUAUUGAGAAAUAAAGCCUCAAAUCAGUCAAGAUGUAUGAAGACUUGCGUGGCUCCCGAGUGUGAGCUACACUGACCGUGGCGCUCAUGGGGAUGCAAUAGCGAAGGAAGACCCUAGAAGAAUGCAGGUCUGGACCCCCACUGGCAACCCACGAAAUCUGAGAAGUCUUCCUUGAAAAGUCAGAGAUUCAACCUCUUGCCUUAAGGGGGAGCCACCUCACCAUGGGGUUCCAGGCCUCUUCAUUUCAUCGGAGGGAAAUUGGCUUACCAAAAAUGCAACCGGCUUGAGUCAACUGUGAGUCUCACCGCCCCCGGAGUGCUGCUCCCUGGUGCCAGGCACUUCCUUCCUCUCCCCCUCGCCUUGCCUGGGCCUCUGGCUACUUUUCCUUCUGGUCCAUCCCUGAGGGGUGGACCAGGCUGGCAGAAGCAGCUGGCAUUCCCCGGAAUCCACGUUGCUGAGUGUUUCCUGGAUGCUCACCUACAUUUCCCAGCUCCCCUUGCAGCAGACACGGCGGGGACUUGGAAGUCACAAGGGCUAGCUCUGUGCUCUUCGCCCUGUCUGGCUGCCUGGAGUGGAGAUGAGCCUCGGGGCAACUUUUGAAGCCAGAUGUUAAAAAUGGUAGAGCCUCGGUCAGCUCAAAUCUUAAAUGAUGGGUGGAGAGUAGCUGUCCCACCCACGCCAUGUAUGAACAGUAUCUCUGGAGUGUAAACCGCUGUGCACUUUGGGGACUAUUUGUUAUAGCAGGGGAUUUGCUACCCAGCCUGAGACAUUCAGUACUAGGAACUGAGGGCGCUGUUGCCUUUGCCUAGACUGCUCAUCCACUAGCGCCUCUCCCAAGCAUCCCUGAAGACUCAGCUCAAAUUCCAGCCCUUCUGUGUCUUCCCAUGGGCAGAGGAAACACAAAUGUAGCCUUAUCUAGUCACUCAUCUAUGGGCUCCAACGGAAGUCACCUUUGCCUACCUCUGGGCAGCCUGAGCCAGGCAGGGAUGUGGGACAUGGCCAACCGACGGAGAUUUAGAAACUCAGCUUGAAGGCCUCCAAACCAAAGGUAGCUCCUCUGAGACUCUGAUUUUUUAUAAUUCUUCGUUUCUGAAAUUAGGCUCAAGAGCCUUGAUGAAGAGAGUAAGUACUUAGCUGAUUUCUCGGGAGAUUCAGCAAGUUGGAGAUGAAUGAGCCCUUAGAAAUCGUCUGCCCCUACCCUUUCCCCUGCAGAUGAAGAGCCAGAGGCUCCAGGUGGAAAGGCAGAAGCAGUGCCCGGGCCUCCUGACUCUCAGCCCGGUGCUCCUUAAUUGUCCUAUUUAAGCAAAGCAGAUGACAUGCUGUUGCCAAGUCUCCAUUGCAGCCCCUGGGCCAUGCUCAGAAUUAUUCAUUCUUUUCAGUUCUCUCAGAUGUGCCUGUCUUCAGCCCGGUCUUUUUCAGUGUCCUCAAAUUCUGCUCCAUGCUGCCUUCCUCCUCUCUGAGCAUUUAACAUCAAGGUUCUCCGUGCUGACUUCCAGUAUGAGCGUGUAGGGAACUGUCGACAUUUCCAAGGUUAAUUGUUCAAUAUUCCUGGGUGGAUACAGCCAGUUCAGGGAACGCAGACCUGGUCCUUUGCUCUUUAGCAGGGGAUUGGGGCAGGCAGGAGAUGCGGCAUCACCAAGUCAUUCUCUGCUUUUUGGUCUUGUCCUUCCCUUCAAGGGAGGAAGAGUCCUUGAGAAGGAAUUCCAGCUCCGUUUUGCAGAGAAGGGAACUGAGGCUCAGAGAGGUCUGGAGACUAGCUCAAGGCUCUGUAAGAUGUCAAGGCUUUCUUCUGGUUCCCCCUCCUGUGUUCUUCUCUCUGCAGAGUUUCCUAUCAGAGUGAGAAGCUUCUCUUUUUUCCUUUCUAAGUCACAAAAGAAAGUGACAUCAGGGUACAGUUUAGGGGGAUAUUUUAGAACUUAAAACUCAAUGAAUUUCUCUUAUGAUUUCCCAAAGCCCAGCCUUAUUUUCCAGUGCUAAUUUCUUAGAGUUUCAGGGGCCUAUUGGUCAAAACUUGACUUCUGACCUAACUUAGGAGUCUAUGUACGUUUCCACAAUGCAGGCCCAUCCUGUCAGCACUUUUUCUGAUUGUUGGAGUUGGUUCAAAACCCACGUUUCUGCCCUCACAUCCUUCCUUUCAGGAAGCUGCAGGGGAAUCAGUGUCCUGGAUGCUUGGCUCAGGAAUGGCGCUUAAGGUCAUAUGGUCCAAACCUCUCAUUGUAUUUUGGGGUGGGGGGGCGGACCACAGGCCCAUGGUGAGCCGGUGGAAAGGCUGGCCUGGUGUCCUGACUCUUCAGCACAAAGUGCUUUGUAGAGAACACGUGCUAGGAAUCCAGAUUGAUUAAUGUCCCCAUAAAGCAAAGAAGACAAAGCAUUUUCUUUAAAUCCCAUAGCCUGGAGGAAGAAGGAGGCAGUCUCCUUUGGGAAAUAUAUUACAUACCACUCUGUCUAUGAAAUUGCGUUUAUGAAAUUGUCAUCUUUUGGGGAUGUGAUGACUCUUUUCCUCUGGGAUGGUUCCCUGCAGCUUUGCGAUUCAUCUCUUCUGCUUUGUCUGCAGUUUUUUUUUUUUUUCUUCAGCUUAGUGAGUGUGUAUGCGGGGAGAGGGGAGGCGGCGUUAUGGGUGGGGUGACUGACCAUCACACAGACCCUGGAGCAGGAGAAGGUUUGACAAGGUUAGAGUUGGGAUGCCCAGCAACAGCCAGUCUAUAGUAAUUUAUUAGAUGUUUAGCAUAAUGAAGGAACAUUGCUUAACAUAUGCAUACUUGGUAAUUCACUGGGUGCUUUUCCUGUUUGGUAUCUUUUUAAAUUGCUUUUAAAAAAUCUUUGGAAGGCAGAGACUUGGAGAGGAAGAGAUAACAUGUUGGGGAAUCUACAAUACUCUAGGAAAUGUGCUUCUGAUUUUCACAUAUCUAUGAGAAAACUCUUUCCGUCCAUGAGACAAGGGACUGUAUCGUCAUUGUCAUGGCCAGGACAUCUGUGCUCAGAGCAGUGACUUGCCUGGGAUCUCACAACUAGGAAGUGGUGGAGGCAGGAUUUGAAUUCAGAUCUCUAUGGGUCAAAGCCACAUUUCUUCCCACAACAUCAGUCUGCCUCCCUGAGUGCACUGAACUGGUAACAAAAAGGAGCAAUCUCCCCCACCUUGUAGUUUGAGGAAAGCGAGUCUAAGUCUCAGAGAGGCCAGAAAUACCAUAGUCUCUAAUCAUAAAAUUGGGACUAAAAUUCCAAGCUUUGCCAAGUGGAAUGGUAUUAUCCAAGGUACGGUCCCCACCUCAAGAGACCAGCCAUUAGCUGGGGAGUCAUGUUUGAUCCUUGUGUUCCAACAGGGAAUGGUUCAGAAUGAGCCCAUGGGGCAAGGCUAGGCUGCGUGGUGUGAAAGGUGAGGACUGACGGAUCUGAGAUGCUGGACCUAUUGUCCUGUCUAUUAGUCUAUUAAAACUGUCUUUGCCAUAGACCGUGGAUCUUCUUAUACUAUUUUUUAGAACCUCUUGUGAUCUGGAAAUAAGAAAACCCAAAUCAAUUUUAGAUAAAUAUUUUGCAGUAAUUGCCUUUACUUAACAUGGGCAGGGCUCUCUCCCCCUGGAGAAUGAAGCUGGAGCCAAUGUAAUCGCUGAUCAGAUCUUCUCCUCACAAUGGUCUGAGUGGGCGCCUCUCCCCUCAAUGUUACCUCCCAAAGGAACAGGGGAUAAACACCCUUGUAAGAGAGUUGGUCUCAUUUUGCUGACGUGAAUUCAAUGGCUCACAGCUCCAUUCUACUCAUCCUGGCUCCGGCUUAAGUUUUAAAAACUAAUUCUCUCUGCAUUAAUCUGAAAAGAUCCUUCAAACAAAAGCUCAACAUCUGAGUCUAUUUACCGAGUGUGCAGCUGUGUCAAUUGGGCCAAGACAAAGCGAGGCUUCCUGGUCAGCCCACAAUGGGCUGCAGGUAGUCCUGCAAACAGAGAAACACAAGGCAGGGUCCUUUCAGGAGCCAGCAACCCUCCUUCCAAUAGGGAAGAGCCCGAGCUGAGGGGUCAAGAGAGGAGUGCCGCCCCACCCCCACCCCACCGCCAUCACACACACACACACACACACACACACACACAAAGUGCGGGCUGGAGGAUGUGAUCUGUAAGCCCAUCAAUUAGGGCUAUUAAAAAGGUAAUUAGCCCUCUUCCAUGGAAACCAAGGACAGAGAAGUGAAAAGGGAAAAUUCAUUUCCACGUGGUCACAUUUUAAUGUGACAAGUACACUUUCGUAAGGACGCGAGAUGCAAUUGUGGAGACUAUCACUUGGUUGGUUAUGAUGGGAAGGUGAUCUCAAGUCAGUUUAAGAGCUAACUUAGAAUAAAAAUGAUAACUAUUUUUAUUAUCAAAAAAAUUUUUUCUUGCUAUCAAAUCAAACACUAGAUUCAAGUCAAGUGGCCAGAUGUGGGAGGCCAGGGAGGAGCUGAGAGUCAUUCCCUUUCUAGUUUCCUCUCCCGAAGAGAAUUGUGGCAGGAGAUGAAAUCUGAAAAUGUCCACGAUGAACAAUUUGUCUUGGAUUCUGGCAAAUGUGAAAUUCGGAAUUAGUUGUUUCUGUUCCCUCUCUUUUCAAACAUGGGUGGGUAUUUUCGUCAUAAAGCCCAAGAGAGAAGAAAAUGAAGACAGGAAAGACCUUUCUCAUAAUGAGACCUGAAGAUACCCAUUGAAAUGGAUCUAAAGAAUACGGCACUCUGUUCAACACCGUCCCAGUUACCAAUGGACCUAGUGCGUACACAUAUUUACACUGUCUCUGUGUGUUUGCUCGCUUUCAAGUAAAGGGUAAUUUAAUUUUGUUUUGUUUUUCUCCAGCGUCUAGUUCUCUUUCACUUCCCCUUCCCACUUUACUGAGGUAAGAUGUACAUGCAGUUAGAAGCACAGAUGUUAAGUGUCCAACUGGGUGAAUCACUUCUUGGUAAUCCACACAACAACCAAGAUAUACAAUGACUUCCAUCAUCUCAGGAGUUUCCUGCCCCAUGUGGUCAAUAACCACCACCCCCUACUCCCACUCAGGCAAUCACUAUUUUAAUUUUUAUUACUAUUGAUUAGUUUUGCCUGUUCUUGAAUUCCAUAUGAAUUAAUUAUAUGGUAGCAAUUCUUUGUGUGUGACAUCUUUCACUCAAAAUAGUAUUUUUGAGAUUCAUCCGUGAUGUUGAUUGAGUGUAUCAGUUCAUUUUCUUUUAUUUAUAAGUAGUAUUCCAUUGUAGGACAACACCGCAAUGUAUGUAUUCUUAUGUUAAUGGACAUUUGGGUUGUUUCCAGUUUUUGUUAUGAAAUAAACAUUCUUGUGUAAGAUCAUUUGUAGGCAUAUGUUUUUAUUUCUCUUGGGCAAUUACCUAGGGGUGGAAUUGCUGAAUCAUAGGUUAGGUGUAUUUUUAACUUUAUAAGAAACUAAGAAACUGCUAGUUUUCUAAAGUGGUUGUACCAUCUUAUGCUUCCAAAAGCAAUGUAUGAAAGUUUCAAUAGCCCCAUUUCCUUACAAACACUCCGUGUUGUCAAUCUUUUUAACAUUAGCUGUUCCAAUGGAUAUGAAGUGGCAAUCUCAUUGUGGUUUCAAUUUGCAUUUCUCUAAUGACUAGUGAGUGAUAUCAAACACCUUUUCAUGUGAUUAUUAUCAUCUGCAUAUCUUCUUUCAUGAAGUUUCUGUUUAAGAUUUUGCCCAUUAUUUAUUGGCUUUUCAUAUUAUUAAUUUGUAGAUAUUCUUUAUACAUUCUGGAUAUAAUCUCUUCUAACAUACAGGUAUAGAAAAUGUUUUCUUUGUCUCUGACUUCCAUUUUCAUUUUUUGAAUAGCAUCUUUUGAUGAGUAAAAUUUUAUUUUGAUGGAAUCCAAUUUUUCAAUAUUUUUCUUUUGUGACUAGUGCUUUCUCUGUCCCAUCUGAGAAAUCUUUGCCUAACCUAAGACUGCAAAGACAUUUCUCUAUGCUUUCUUAUAGCAGCUCUACAAUUUUAGCUUUUGUGAUUAACUCUACAAUUCAUCUCAAAUUAAUUUUGUGUGUAUGGUGUGAGGUAAGGGUUGGGGCUCAUUUUUCCCAAGUAUUUAUCCAGUAGUUCCAGCACUAUUUGAUGAAGACUUUCCUUUUUCCAUUCAAUUGCUCUGAUGCUUUUAUCACAGAUCAAUUGACUAUAUGUGUGGCUCUAUUUCUGAACUCUCUGUUUUUUGUCUUUUUUAAUGUCAAUACUACAUUGCCUUGAUUGUUGUAGAUUUUUAACACACCUAGAAAUCAGAAAUUGUGGGUUUUCUAAUCUUUCUCUUCUUUUUAAAGAUUAUUUUGGUCACACUAGUCCUUUGCAUUUUUAUACACAUUUUGGAAUCAACUCGUCAAUUUAUACAAAAAAGUUGGUUGAGAUUUUGACUGGGAUUAUGUUGAAUCUGUAGAUCAGAUUGAGAAGUAGGAGAAAAGGCUUAAUAUUAAGCCUUUCAUUUAAUGAAUGUGGUAUAUCUUUCUAUUUAUUUGUUUUCUUUUUUCAAUAAUAUUGUAUAACUUUUAAUAUGGAGGUCUUGCAUAUCUUUAUUCCUUAGUUCAUGAAUUUCAUUGCUACUAUAAAUGGUAUUGUGAAAAUUUUAUCUUCUAAUUGUUGUUAGUAUGCAAAAAUAGAAUUGAUAUUUGUCUAUUUGACCUCAUAGCUUGCUAUGUUGCUAAAUUCCCUAGUUAGUUCUAUGAGUGGCUUUACAGGUCCUUUAGGAUUUCUGAUAUGUGUUAUUCAUGUCAUCUACAAAUAAAAAUAGUUUAAUUUCUUUCUUUCCAAUCUUUCUUCCCACCUUACUGCACUGGCCAGAAUCUCCAGUAGAGUGCUGAAGGGAAGUGGUGAGUAUCGACAUCCUUGCCUUGUUCCUGAUUUUAGAGAGAAGGUGUUCCAUAAUCUACCAUUAAGUGUAAUGUUAACUAUGGUUUUCUCAUAACUGUCCUUUAUCAGACGUUUUAUUUCUAGUGUGCUGAGAGACUUUUAAAAUCGUAAGUGACUAUUGAACUUUGUCGAAUGCCUUUUCAUUUUUGAGAUGAUCAUAUGGUAUUUUUCUAUGAUUCUUUUGAUGUGGUGAAUCAUAUUGAUUGCUUUUUGGGUGUUAAAUCAACCAUGCAUUCCUGGGCUAAAUCUCACUUAGUCAUAAUGUGUUAUCCUUUUUUUAUAUAAUGCGGGAUUUGAUUUGCUAAGAUCUGUCAAGCAUUUCUGCAUCUAUAUUUAUGAAGGAUAUUGAUCUGUAGUUUUUACUUUAUGGUAAUAUUUUUGUCAGUAUUAUGAUGGUGUGAUGGUUAGUUUAAUGUGUCAACUUGGCUAGACUAUAGUACCCAGUUAUUCAAUCAAACACUAAUCUAGGCAUUGCUGUGAAGAUAUUUUGUGGAUGUGGUUAACAUCUGCAAUCAGUUGACUUUAAGUAAAGGAGAUUAUCCUUGAUAAUAUGGGUGGGCCUUAUCCAAUCAGUUGAAGGCCUUAAGAGUAAGCCAGUUUCCCAGAAAAGAAAUUGUUUCAGGACUGCAGCAUCAAUUCCUGCCAGAGUUUCCAGCCUGCUGGCCUGCCCUACACACUUUGCACUUGCCAUGCCCCACAACUGCAUGAGCCAAGAGCCAAUUCCUUAAAAUAAAUCUCUACCUAUCAACACAUAGAAAAAUGAAAUCUCAAUCUUGUGAAGGUUUGUUUUAAGGACUUGGUAGAGUGGGUCUAUUUCAGUUUUGUUUUGAGUAUGGACCCUAUUCUAUGGCAUGGUCCUUUCUCUGAAGGUGUAGAAUUUCUGGAGUCUCGCAUGAAUGGUGAGGUGCUCACCAAGAUAUCUCUUCACUCUGCUUGGCUGGAACUCCAAAGUCUUUCAGCAUCAAGGACCUCUGGAGUCUCCAUUCAGAUUUUAUCCUCAUCUAAUGAGUUCUCUGAUAGGUCUACUGGAGUUCUGUCCUGUGCACUUAUGGCCCUGAUCUCAGCCAAGAAGCCAGAGGGCAUCCCCAGUAUACACUUCUGACAGCAUUCCUGCACAGCUACCUCUUUGCUGGUACCGUGCCCUACAAAUUCCAGCUGCUUCAGCAUCCCUGGUCUCUGCUUCCUCAACUGAGCACAUUCACCUUACUCUUCUUGUGCCCCACCUCCCUGCACUAUGAUCUGGUAACUGUUCCCAUGCAGAAAGCCAGGAUGUACGUAGGGCUCACUUGAUAUGUUUCUUUUCUAUCAAGGAUUACAGUCCUGUUGUCUAUUGCCCAAUGCCUAAAACGGGCUACUUCAUACAUUUUGUCCUAUUUAAUCAUUACCUAUGGUAGGAAGGCAUUCUCCAAUACCUAUUACUCCAUCAUGGCCAAAAAUGGAAUUUCAUCUAUAUACACAUUUGUCAAACCAUCCUCCAAAUCAAGAACCUACCUAUGAAUCUAAAAGAAGAAAAUAAAAAGGA